rnacentral:rRNA from 1 species
UUGUCGAUCCUGCAUAGCAGUACCACUCGCGAACAAGUUCACAAACAAGUGCCAAACCAAGUGUAGGGGAUUCCUUGCAUUUGAUUUGGUUCCUUAAUGGUACUAGGACAAUUUGUCCUUGUGCCUAACAAACCCCCGGCGCGAGAAGCGCCAAGGAAUACUCUAACAAGGGCGAGAUCCAUCCUCUCCCGUUCGCGGGGCUUGGGGAUUGGGGAUAGCUUCUUUAUAAACUGAAACGACUCUCGGCAACGGAUAUCUCGGCUCUCGCAUCGAUGAAGAACGUAGCGAAAUGCGAUACUUGGUGUGAAUUGCAGAAUCCCGUGAACCAUCGAGUCUUUGAACGCAAGUUGCGCCUGAAGCCAUUAGGCCGAGGGCACGUCUGCCUGGGCGUCACGCAUCGCGUCACCCCUCCCCCAAUUCUUGCGGGUGGGGUGGAAUCUGACCUCCUGUGCCUACGGGUGUAGCUGGUCGAAAUUCGAGUCUGGAGUUUAGGACGUCACGACAAGUGGUGGUUGUAUAACAACUCGCGUGUUGUCGUGUGCCCAAACUUUUGUGACUGUAAAGACCCAAAGGCACAUGUCAUCCGCCCCUUUUGGGGUUGGGCGCUUGUGCAACGACCGCGACCCCAGGUCAGGCGGGAUUACCCGCUGAAUUUAAGCAUAUCAA